CCUACGGGUGGCUGCAGUGGGGAAUAUUGGACAAUGGGCGAAAGCCUGAUCCAGCCAUGCCGCGUGUGUGAAGAAGGCCUUCGGGUUGUAAAGCACUUUCAGUGGGGAAGAAAGCCUUGGGGCUAAUACCCUCGAGGAAGGACAUCACCCACAGAAGAAGCACCGGCUAACUCCGUGCCAGCAGCCGCGGUAAUACGGAGGGUGCGAGCGUUAAUCGGAAUUACUGGGCGUAAAGCGCGCGUAGGCGGUCUUAUAAGCCGGUGGUGAAAGCCCCGGGCUCAACCUGGGAACGGCAUCCGGAACUGUCAGGCUAGAGUGCAGGAGAGGAAGGUAGAAUUCCCGGUGUAGCGGUGAAAUGCGUAGAGAUCGGGAGGAAUACCCGUGGCGAAGGCAGCCUUCUGGACUGGCACUGACGCUGAGGUGCGAAAGCGUGGGUAGCAAACAGGAUUAGAUACCCUUGUAGUC
rnacentral:rRNA from 1 species